rnacentral:misc_RNA from 1 species
GGAGAGGAGCUUCGUACUACAAUUGCCGUCCCGGAGCUCAGGCGAAUCCUUAUCAACGUGGAUGCAGUGCCAUCACGCGCUGCCGUCAUUGAAAACCCUCUACACAGUAAAUUCCUUGAUUUACUGUAUUUACAUUUUUUUUUUACCAGAGUGGUAAAAAAGUUAAAAAAUUCUUUUUGAGCUUUGUGUGAUCUAUUUACUACUAUCAUUAUUAUCCAGUAUGGUUACUUAUUAUUAAUGUAUUUGUGAAUUGUGGUAGAGAAGUAGCUUUUUGUGUGAU